rnacentral:misc_RNA from 1 species
AAAGUCGUAACAAGGUUUCCGUAGGUGAACCUGCGGAAGGAUCAUUAACACGUAUCCAACGUUAAAACCCCCCCGUGAACCUUCAUUGUGCUCGUACGCUCUGUUAGAAAGUAUCAGGCAGCUGGUAAAUCAUUGCCGAACAGUUUUGAUUCAGCACACCUGGUGCGUAGGGUGUGCAUGUUGCGCGAGGCAAGUGGCCUGGCAUCCGCAAGGAUGACGCAGUAACGAUCGCUAGAGGCCAUCACGGCCGGCGACCGGGCCGCCGGGCUUAAGUGCUCCUUCGAAACCUUUGCAUGAAAACGGGCCUGCGCUUAAUUGUGCGGCCACCAACUCGAACAACUGUUAACAAUGGAUAUCUUGGUUCUC